rnacentral:rRNA from 1 species
AGCAUGUGGUUUAAUUCGAUGCAACGCGAAGAACCUUACCUGGGCUUGACAUCCACGGAACCUGCUGGAAACAGUGGGGUGCCCUUCGGGGAGCCGUGAGACAGGUGCUGCAUGGCUGUCGUCAGCUCGUGUCGUGAGAUGUUGGGUUAAGUCCCGCAACGAGCGCAACCCUUGUCUUUAAUUGCCAUCAUUAAGUUGGGCACUUUAAAGAGACUGCCGGUGUCAAACCGGAGGAAGGUGGGAUGACGUCAAGUCCUCAUGGCCUUUAUGUCUAGGGCUACACACGUACUACAAUGGCCGGUACAAAGGGCAGCCACUCAGCGAUGAGGCGCUAAUCUCAUAAAGCCGGUCUCAGUCCGGAUCGCAGUCUGCAACUCGACUGCGUGAAGUUGGAAUCGCUAGUAAUCGUAGAUCAGCAUGCUACGGUGAAUACGUUCCCGGGCCUU